rnacentral:lncRNA from 1 species
GACGGACUGACCAGGAGCAGGAUGUCUUGCACCCACAGCACCAGACCUGCACGCAGAAAAUAUCUGUAGGCAACUUUUAUAUAAAACAUGAUGUGCAUGAGCAAUGUUAUGAUCUGCUACAUGAUGCUGAUGGCAGAAAGAACCUUCCUCUCAGGACUCAUGGAAUCACACCUACAGGAUAGCAGGACAUGUCCAGAAUGAGGAGAGCAGGACUUCAUCCUGCUUUAAAUUCAGAUCUCAAUGUCUGCUGUUACUGUCAGUGGACUUGACUGUCUAGAAAGUUUUACUAUUGCCCUGAGGGGAGAUGCCUUUGCCUUCCAGGCUGAAAGCUCAAGGUUCUCCUACCCCUACACUAGUAUGAAGGCUAUGGUACUUUUGUGUUUGAGCUAUGUUCAUCCAGAAGAUCAGCCAGGUUACUCUUGAUCCUGUAGGAACAUUUAUUGCUUUGGGAAUAUGGAAAGCCACUUCAAAUAAAGAACAGUUUACUCUUGAC